rnacentral:rRNA from 1 species
GACGAACGCUGGCGGCGCGCUUAACACAUGCAAGUCGAACGGAAAGGCCUGCUUUCCCUUGUGGAUUGCGGGUACUCGAGUGGCGAACGGGUGAGUAACACGUGAGUGAUCUGCCCCCAACUUGGGUAUAAGCCUGGGAAACUGGGUCUAAUUCCCGAUAGGACUGCAGGGUGGUGCCUGUGGUGGAAAACGAUUUUCUAGUGGUUGGGGAUGAGCUCGCGGCCUAUCAGCUUGUUGGUGGGGUAAUGGCCUACCAAGGCGGCGAGGGGUAGCCGGCCUGAGAGGGUGGACGGCCACAUUGGGACUGGGAUACGGCCCAGACUCCUACGGGAGGCAGCAGUGGGGGAUAUUGGACAAUAGGCGGAAGCCUGAUGCAGCGACGCCGCGUGGGGGAUGACGGCCUUCGGGUUGUAAACUCCUUUCGACCGAGAGGAAGCCACCUGGUUGGAAGGGUGGUGACGGUAGUGGUAGAAGAAGCACCGGCUAACUACGUG